GGGUCCGGACACACUGAGGAUUGACAGGCAAUUAUUGUGCUUUGUAACUUUUUUUAAGUUGCUUACACAACAACAAAUUAUGCUAGUCCUUUCAUGAUUAUGUGAUAGGUGGUGCAUGGCCGUUCUUAGUUCGUGGAGUGAUCUGUCUGCUUAAUUGCGUUUCAUCAGGGACCAUGUUUAUUUAUGUACUUUCUUACUCGCUUUUUAAGCACUUUUGUGUUUUUUAAGCUUGUACUUUAGUGCAAUUGGUCCUGAAAGCAACGAACGUGACCGCAUCCUCUUGUUGCCUUUUUAACUUGAGUUGUUUACACUUCUCAUAACAUAAGAGGCUUUCCUAAAACUAGAGGGACCGCUGCGACUUUUUUAAACCAGAGGAAGGUUGCGGCAAUAACAGGUCUGUGAUGCCCUUAGAUGUUCCGGGCUGCACACGUGCUACAAUGAUUAUUGCAGUGAGCAUCUCAUUUUAUUUUUUGUGCUUGUCUUGUCUGACUCUUUUACGAGGGAAAGACGACAGCCUUAGCCUGCUUCGAAAGUUCGCAGGU
rnacentral:rRNA from 1 species